rnacentral:rRNA from 1 species
AUUGAACGCUGGCGGCAUGCCUUACACAUGCAAGUCGAACGGCAGCACGGGUGCUUGCACCUGGUGGCGAGUGGCGAACGGGUGAGUAAUACAUCGGAACAUGUCCUGUAGUGGGGGAUAGCCCGGCGAAAGCCGGAUUAAUACCGCAUACGAUCUACGGAUGAAAGCGGGGGACCUUCGGGCCUCGCGCUAUAGGGUUGGCCGAUGGCUGAUUAGCUAGUUGGUGGGGUAAAGGCCUACCAAGGCGACGAUCAGUAGCUGGUCUGAGAGGACGACCAGCCACACUGGGACUGAGACACGGCCCAGACUCCUACGGGAGGCAGCAGUGGGGAAUUUUGGACAAUGGGCGAAAGCCUGAUCCAGCAAUGCCGCGUGUGUGAAGAAGGCCUUCGGGUUGUAAAGCACUUUUGUCCGGAAAGAAAUCCUUGGCCCUAAUACGGUCGGGGGAUGACGGUACCGGAAGAAUAAGCACCGGCUAACCGCGUG